rnacentral:lncRNA from 1 species
CUCGAUCAGAAGGAUCAAAAACCACGCCUAGGGAAUACAUUGUGAAGGUUUGAUGAGAAGAGUGAUACUGUUUUUCGUUUCCUUGAUGCUGGAAGUAAGAGUUACAGAAGAGCAGUGAUUUUAUUUAUUUAUAUAGGAAACAAAAGACUGCUUAAGAACAACGCCACUUUUUUUUUUAAAAAAAAAAAAAAGAAAUUAAUCUUGGAUUUUUUUUUUCAAAUAAUUUACGCGGCAGGCAUGCAGAAGCUUCUGGGAUUGGUCUUCGAUGAAGAGAGUUUCCUCUUAUCUCCCUAAGUUGACUGCUGGCCACGUGGGGUUAUUGGUCUUCUCAUUCUCAGCUUCCAUUCAUGAAAGGCAAGCAACGCUUCUUCUUCAGCUCCAGCCAGAAGUCCAACGGGCAACUGUAGCUCCCUGGUUCACCAAGUCAAGCUCAUCCUUUGAUGGAAAG